AUUGCGCAUGCGGGAAACCCACGCUGAGGGAAGAAUCAUGGGAAAGAGGUGAGCCUGUAAAGUUUUAGGAUCAAGGUUAAAGGCCCUUUUUUGCUCUCUUCUCUCUUGGACCUUCAGGCGACGGCUUGGGUAUCUUCCAAGCGAAUUUUCCUUUCUUUCCUGUUCUUUUUUUUUUUUGAGACGGAGUCUUGCUCUGUCGCCCAGGCUGGAGUGCAGUGGCGUGAUGUCGGCUCACUGCAAGCUCCGCCUCCCGGGUUCACGCCAUUCUCCUGCUUCAGCCUCCUGAGUAGCUGGGGCUACAGGCGCCCGCCACCACGCCCGGCUAAUUUUUUUGUAUUUUUUUUUUUAGUAGAGACGGGGUUCCACCGUGUUAGCCAGGAUGGUCUCGAUUUCCUGACCUCGUCAUCCUCCCGCCUUGGCCUCCCAAAGUGCUGGGAUUACAGGCUUGAGCCACCGCGCCCCGCUCUUUCGUGUUCCAAAGGCUUUUUAAAUAAACUUCCACUCCUGUCCUGGAUUCUGCUUUAUGGCCCUCAGUCGAAUUCUUUCUUCUGAGGAGGCAAGGACUGAAGUUGCUUCUGACCAGUACAGUUUCCCUGACUCUUAGAGCCGUGGAGCAGUGUGUGUCAUGUGCUGCACACCCAGGCUGGAACAGCCUGUCUCCAGGAGAAAACGAAUACAGCAGGGAUGACUUCCACCAGCUCCACUUUGCAGCUCUGAGGUGUAUUAAAAAUGACCUGGAAGAAGUCAUGCCACGGGCCAGACCUUAACAUUCCUUUCGGCUUACCCCAGGAUUUCAGACAAAGCUUCACUUUCCUAACCAGUCACAAAUCAGAGAAUUUUUGAUUCCACCUAUGACCUGUGAGCUCCUGCUUCAAGAUAUUCCACCUUUUUUAGGCCAAACCAAUGUAUAACCUCCAAGUGUCGAUUUACACUUUCGACUGUAACUUCUGCUUUCCUGAGAUUUACCCCUGCCUUUAAAAACCCUUGCUUGUAAUCCCUCAGGGAGGCCGUGUAUUUAUUAAUCAUGAGCUGCCCAAUUCUCCUUGCUUGGUGCCCUGCAAAUAAACACC
rnacentral:lncRNA from 10 species